UCAGUUUUCUCUUCACUCCGUCCUCACUUUUGCAUUUCUCCUCUCUGCCUCUCAUUCUCCCAUCCUAACUUUCCCUUCACCCCACCUUCCAUUUGCCUUUUCAUCUUCUUCACUUUGUCUCUCGUUCUUUCACCUUAACUUCUCCUCCCCAUCGGCUUUCCUUUGCCUUUUGUAUCUUCUCCACUCUGUCACUCAUUCCCCAACCCUAAUUUUCACCUCGCCGCGCGUUUUGCAUUUUCUCCACCCUGACUCUUUCCUAACCCUAAUGUCUCUCGGCUCCCGCAGCGACCGGAACUCCGCUGCAAGUUGCUCGAGCUUGGACGGAAUGACAAGCUCCGAGGUGGAAAUCACGAAGCAGGAAAUCACAGGGUUUGUCUUGAUCGAACUUAAACGACGUCAGAGGCGUUUGAAGAGCAAAGGUUUUCACACUGUUGGAAAGCCACUUCAUUAGCUCAGAUAAAGAUGGCGCAGAUGCUGCUAAAAGUGCAAAGGUUAGUGUGAUAGGACUGGACUCGGAGAAGGUCCAACAAUUGUGUGAUGUAACCAAUCAGGAAGUUGAAGCCGAGAAGGUUCAAAUUACCAAUUACUUGUGUCUAGUAAGGCUCUUAUGAGUCUACCUAUUUACAACUUAGGAAGAAGUCCUUUUUCUAGAUUUCUUAACCAUUAGUUGUUUUGGUAAGGAAACUAUGUUGUUCAGAGGAUUAAAAGGAAUAAAAGUGGUGGAAUCCAAGGCAAAGUCUUUGAAGGCUCGAA